UGGGGAAUAUUGGACAAUGGGGGCAACCCUGAUCCAGCCAUGCCGCGUGUGUGAAGAAGGCCUUUUGGUUGUAAAGCACUUUAAGCAGUGAAGAAGACUCCAUGGUUAAUACCCAUGGACGAUGACAUUAGCUGCAGAAUAAGCACCGGCUAACUCUGUGCCAGCAGCCGCGGUAAUACAGAGGGUGCAAGCGUUAAUCGGAAUUACUGGGCGUAAAGCGAGCUUAGGGGGCUUGAUAAGUCAGAUGUGAAAGCCCCGGGCUUAACCUGGGAACGGCAUCUGAUACUGUUAGGCUAGAGUAGGUGAGAGGAAGGUAGAAUUCCAGGUGUAGCGGUGAAAUGCGUAGAGAUCUGGAGGAAUACCGAUGGCGAAGGCAGCCUUCUGGCAUCAUACUGACACUGAGGUUCGAAAGCGUGGGUAGCAAACA
rnacentral:rRNA from 1 species